UACAGAGGGUGCGAGCGUUGUUCGGAAUUAUUGGGCGUAAAGGGCGCGUAGGCGGUGCGGUAAGUCACCUGUGAAAUCUCCUGGCUCAACUGGGAGCUUGCAGGCGAAACUGCCGUGCUGGAGUGUGGGAGAGGUGCGUGGAAUUCCCGGUGUAGCGGUGAAAUGCGUAGAUAUCAGGAGGAACACCUGUGGUGUAGACGGCUUUCUGGACCAUAGCUGACGCUGAGACACGAAAGCGUGGGUAGCAAACAGG
rnacentral:rRNA from 1 species